rnacentral:rRNA from 2 species
GAUUGAACGCUGGCGGCAGGCCUAACACAUGCAAGUCGAGCGGCAGCGGAAAGUAGCUUGCUACUUUGCCGGCGAGCGGCGGACGGGUGAGUAAUGUCUGGGAAACUGCCUGAUGGAGGGGGAUAACUACUGGAAACGGUAGCUAAUACCGCAUAACGUCGCAAGACCAAAGAGGGGGACCUUCGGGCCUCUUGCCAUCAGAUGUGCCCAGAUGGGAUUAGCUAGUAGGUGGGGUAACGGCUCACCUAGGCGACGAUCCCUAGCUGGUCUGAGAGGAUGACCAGCCACACUGGAACUGAGACACGGUCCAGACUCCUACGGGAGGCAGCAGUGGGGAAUAUUGCACAAUGGGCGCAAGCCUGAUGCAGCCAUGCCGCGUGUAUGAAGAAGGCCUUCGGGUUGUAAAGUACUUUCAGCGGGGAGGAAGGUGCUGAGGUUAAUAACCUCAGCAAUUGACGUUACCCGCAGAAGAAGCACCGGCUAACUCCGU